UUCCGCAAUGGGCGAAAGCCUGACGGAGCGACGCCGCGUGGAGGAUGAAGGAUUUCGGUCUGUAAACUCCUGUCAGUGGGGACGAAACAAAUGACGGUACCCACAAAGGAAGCAUCGGCUAACUACGUGCCAGCAGCCGCGGUAAGACGUAGGAUGCGAGCGUUGUUCGGAUUUAUUGGGCGUAAAGCGUACGUAGGCGGCUGCCUAAGUCUGGUGUUAAAGCUAGGGGCUCAACCCCUGUGAUGCACUGGAAACUGGGCGGCUUGAGAGCGGUAGGGGAAGGUGGAAUUCCGAGUGUAGCGGUGAAAUGCGUAGAUAUUCGGAAGAACACCGGUGGCGAAGGCGACCUUCUGGGCCGUUUCUGACGCUGAGGUACGAAAGCGUGGGGAGCAAACAGG
rnacentral:rRNA from 1 species